rnacentral:rRNA from 1 species
CCUACGGGGGGCAGCAGUGAGGAAUAUUGGUCAAUGGACGCAAGUCUGAACCAGCCAUGCCGCGUGCAGGAAGACGGCUCUAUGAGUUGUAAACUGCUUUUGUACGAGGGUAAACGUAGAUACGCGUAUCUUUCUGAAAGUAUCGUACGAAUAAGGAUCGGCUAACUCCGUGCCAGCAGCCGCGGUAAUACGGAGGAUUCAAGCGUUAUCCGGAUUUAUUGGGUUUAAAGGGUGCGUAGGCGGUCGGAUAAGUUAGAGGUGAAAUCCCGGGGCUCAACUUCGGAAUUGCCUCUGAUACUAGUCGGCUAGAGAGUAGUUGCGGUAGGCGGAAUGUAUGGUGUAGCGGUGAAAUGCUUAGAGAUCAUACAGAACACCGAUUGCGAAGGCAGCUUACCAAGCUACUUCUGACGUUGAGGCACGAAAGCGUGGGGAGCAAACAGGAUUAGAUACCCCUGUAGUC